rnacentral:rRNA from 1 species
UGCGUAGGCGGAAUAUUAAGUCAGUGGUGAAAUCCUGCGGCUCAACCGUAGAACUGCCAUUGAUACUGAUAUUCUUGAAUGUAGUUGAGGUAGGCGGAAUGUGUAAUGUAGCGGUGAAAUGCUUAGAUAUUACACAGAACACCGAUUGCGAAGGCAGCUUACUAAACUAUGAUUGACGCUGAGGCACGAAAGCGUGGGGAGCGAACACGAUUAGAUACCCUGGUAGUCC